GACGAACGCUGGCGGCGUGCUUAACACAUGCAAGUGGAGUCGACGAACCAGGGCUUGCCCUGGGGCAAGAGCCGCGAACGGGUGAGUAACACGUGGGUAACGUGCCCCGAUGAUCGGGACGAAACCCGGGGAAACCCGGGCUAAUACCGAAUGUGCUCCCCUCACACCAGUGAGGGAUGGAAAGGAAGCUUCGGCCUCCGCAUCGGGGA
rnacentral:rRNA from 1 species